rnacentral:lncRNA from 1 species
AACGAAAGAGCAUACUUUUUUCUAUAUAAUGGCAUAUUCUUUAGAGAUAUUUUCUAAAUAGUUAAAAUUUUAUGAGAAAUAUAGACAAAAUUUUAGUAUCCUUCGAUAUCGAAAUUUCACGGUUUUUUCAAUAUUAAAUUGGAUAAAAGUGAUACUUCUAAGCCGAUUUUCGAACAUCGGUCAAAUCCAAACGAAAGAGCAUACUUUUUUCUAUAUAAUGGCAUAUUUUUUAGAGAUUUUUUCUAAAUAGUUAAAAUUUUAUGAAGAAUAUAGACAAAAUUUUAGUAUCGUUCGAUAGCGAAUUUUCACGGUUUUUUCAAUUAUAAAUUGA